rnacentral:snoRNA from 1 species
UUGGCCCUGAAUCAAGGCCAGCAGUUUGCUGAAGCUGUUGGUUGUUGGUUUCAAGCAGGCGCCUGAAGAAUUAUCUUUCUAUGGCCCAUUGGCCAUUUCAGAACUUUGGAAAUGUAAGGGUCAAUUCAUUAGAAAGAAACAAUG